GAAUCCCGUCUUUGACACGGACUGCCUGCAUGUUAUGGUGCGCUCUCAAAGAGUCGAGUUGUUUGGGAAUGCAGCUCAAAAUGGGUGGUAAAUGCCAUCUAAAGCUAAAUAUUGGCGAGAGACCGAUAGCGAACAAGUACCGUGAGGGAAAGAUGAAAAGAACUUUGGAAAGAGAGUUAAACAGUACGUGAAAUUGCUGAAAGGGAAACGCUUGAAGUCAGUCGCGUCGACCGAGACUCAGCCUCGCCUCGGCUUGGUGUACUUCUCGGCUGACGGGUCAGCAUCAAUUUUACCCCUUGGAUAAUGGCGAGGGAAAUGUGACACCUUUACGGUGUGUUAUAGUCUCUCGUCGCAUGCAAGGGUUGGGAUUGAGGAACUCAGCACGCGCCUUUGGGCGUCGGGGUCUUUGCCCACGAUACGUGCUUAGGAUGUUGGCGUAAUGGCUUUAAACGACCCGUCUUGAAACACGGACCAAGGAGUCUAACAUGCACGCGAGUGUUCGGGUGGAAAACCCGUGCGCGUAAUGAAAGUAAAAGUUGGGACCUCUGUCGUGGAGGGCACCGACGCCCGGACCAGACCUUCUGUGACGGCUCUGCGGUAGAGCGUGUAUGUUGGGACCCGAAAGAUGGUGAACUAUGCCUGAAUAGGGUGAAGCCAGAGGAAACUCUGGUGGAGGCUCGUAGCGAUUCUGACGUGCAAAUCGAUCGUCAAAUUUGGGUAUAGGGGCGAAAGACUAAUCGAACCAUCUAGUAGCUGGUUCCUGCC
rnacentral:rRNA from 1 species